rnacentral:rRNA from 1 species
UACGGAGGAUCCGAGCGUUAUCCGGAUUUAUUGGGUUUAAAGGGUGCGUAGGCGGCCUGUUAAGUCAGGGGUGAAAGACGGUAGCUCAACUAUCGCAGUGCCCUUGAUACUGAUGGGCUUGAAUGUACUAGAGGUAGGCGGAAUGUGACAAGUAGCGGUGAAAUGCAUAGAUAUGUCACAGAACACCAAUUGCGAAGGCAGCUCACUACACGAAGAUUGACUCUGAGGCACGAAAGCGUGGGGAUCAAACAGG